GACGAACGCUGGCGGCGUGCUUAACACAUGCAAGUCGAACGGAAAGGCCCUGCUUUUGUGGGGUGCUCGAGUGGCGAACGGGUGAGUAACACGUGAGUAACCUGCCCUUGACUUUGGGAUAACUUCAGGAAACUGGGGCUAAUACCGGAUAGGAGCUCCUGCUGCAUGGUGGGGGUUGGAAAGUUUCGGCGGUUGGGGAUGGACUAGCGGCUUAUCAGCUUGUUGGGGUGGUAGUGUCUUAGCAAGGCCUUGACGGGUAGCCGGCCUGAGAGGGUGAGCGGCUACAUUGGGACUGAAAUGAGACCCAGACUCGUCCGGGACGCAGGAGUGGAGAAGAGUGCACUAUGGGCGGAAGCCUGAUGCAGCAAAGCCGCGCGCGGGAUGACGGCAUUCGGGUUGUAAACCGCUUUCCCCUGUGACGAAGCGUGAGUGACGGUAAUGGGUAAAGAAGCACCGGCUAACUACGUG
rnacentral:rRNA from 1 species